rnacentral:rRNA from 1 species
UACGUAGGGUGCGAGCGUUAAUCGGAAUUACUGGGCGUAAAGCGUGCGCAGGCGGUUUUGUAAGACAGAUGUGAAAUCCCCGGGCUUAACCUGGGAACUGCAUUUGUGACUGCAAGACUAGAGUACGGCAGAGGGGGGUAGAAUUCCUGGUGUAGCGGUGAAAUGCGUAGAUAUCAGGAGGAAUACCAGUGGCGAAGGCGACCCCCUGGGCCAAUACUGACGCUGAGGUACGAAAGCGUGGGUAGCGAACAGG